GAUGAACGCUGGCGGCGUGCUUAACACAUGCAAGUCGAACGGAAAAGCAGAGCUUGCUCUGUGGUUCAGUGGCGAACGGGUGAGUAACACGUGAGCAACCUGCCCCUCACUUCGGGAUAAGCCCUGGAAACGGGGUCUAAUACUGGAUAUGAGCUGCGUCCGCUGGGUUAGCUGGUGGGAAGUUUUUUCGGUUUGGGAUGGGCCCACGGCCUAUCUGCUUGUUGGUGUGGUAAUGGCUCACCAAGGCGUCGACGGGUAGCCGGCCGGGGAGGGUGACCGGCCACACUGGGACUGGGAAACGGCCCGGACUCCUACGGGAGGCAGCAGGGGGGAAUAUUGCACAAUGGGCGAAAGCCUGAUGCAGCAACGCCGCGUGAGGGAUGACGGCCUUCGGGUUGUAAACCUCUUUUAGCAGGGAAGAAGCGAAAGUGACGGUACCUGCAGAAAAAGCGCCGGCUAACUACGUG
rnacentral:rRNA from 1 species